AUUGAACGCUGGCGGCAUGCCUUACACAUGCAAGUCGAACGGCAGCACGGGUGCUUGCACCUGGUGGCGAGUGGCGAACGGGUGAGUAAUACAUCGGAACGUACCUUAUCGUGGGGGAUAACGCAGCGAAAGCUGUGCUAAUACCGCAUACGCCCUGAGGGGGAAAGCGGGGGAUCGCAAGACCUCGCGCGAUUAGAGCGGCCGAUGCCUGAUUAGCUUGUUGGUGGGGUAAAAGCCCACCAAGGCGACGAUCAGUAGCUGGUCUGAGAGGACGAGAAGCCAGACUGGGACUGGGACACGGCCCAGACUCCUACGGGAGGCAGCAGUGGGGAAUUUUGGACAAUGGGGGCAACCCUGUUCCAGCAAUGCCGCGUGAGUGAAGAAGGCCUUCGGGUUGUAAAGCUCUUUUGUCAGGGAAGAAACACCGGCUCUAACACAGUCCGGGAAUGACGGUACCUGAAGAAUAAGCACCGGCUAACUACGUGCCAGCCGCCGCAGUAA
rnacentral:rRNA from 1 species